rnacentral:rRNA from 1 species
GAUGAACGCUGGCGGCGUGCUUAACACAUGCAAGUCGAACGAUGAAGCCCAGCUUGCUGGGUGGAUUAGUGGCGAACGGGUGAGUAACACGUGAGUAACCUGCCCUUAACUCUGGGAUAAGCCUGGGAAACUGGGUCUAAUACCGGAUAGGAGCGUCCACCGCAUGGUGGGUGUUGGAAAGAUUUGUCGGUUUUGGAUGGACUCGCGGCCUAUCAGCUUGUUGGUGAGGUAAUGGCUCACCAAGGCGACGACGGGUAGCCGGCCUGAGAGGGUGACCGGCCACACUGGGACUGAGACACGGCCCAGACUCCUACGGGAGGCAGCAGUGGGGAAUAUUGCACAAUGGGCGCAAGCCUGAUGCAGCGACGCCGCGUGAGGGAUGACAGCCUUCGGGUUGUAAACCUCUUUCAGUAGGGAAGAAGCGAAAGUGACGGUACCUGCAGAAGAAGCACCGGCUAACUACGUG